GGGAGAAGUCGGAGCACAAGGACUACCAGGCCCAGGUGGACCAAGAGGACUCCCUGGAAUAAUGGGCUCCAAAGGGGACAAGGGACCUCGUGGAAAGCCUGGUGAUGUGGGCCCUAGAGGAAUUCAGGGAUCCCCAGGUGAUCCAGGCCAAAGAGGAGCCAUUGGUGAGACCGGGCCAAGGGGAGUGGCGGGGGAUCGAGGUCCAGCAGGAAUCAGAGGUGUGCCAGGACCAAAAGGAGAGCCUG